rnacentral:misc_RNA from 1 species
AAAGUCGUAACAAGGUUUCCGUAGGUGAACCUGCGGAAGGAUCAUUAGAAUGAGAUUCGGUUCGAGGGCUUCAAAACCUUAGGGCCGUCAACCUCCACCCUUGUGUAUCAUUCAAUUGUUGCUUUGGUGGGCCGCGACCCGCACGGGGAGCACCGGCUUCAGCUGGAGAGUGCCUGCCAGAGAACCCCAACUCUGUAUUUUGUAACAUCUGAGUACUAUACAAUAGUUAAAACUUUCAACAACGGAUCUCUUGGUUCUG